GGGAGAUGCUUCAGAAGAUUGCUUUAAGAGUCUGCUGCAGAAGCAGAGAGAUGCAGGCAGUAACUUGUCUUCCAGAACUGGAGAGACAGACCACUGCUAUGUCCAAGCAUACAUCCCAAACCUGUCAAGCGAAUGGCAGGGGGUGGCAGUGCCUGUUGCGUAUCAGCUUUUGGAAGAAAUCAGAACCCUAGCUUCCUGAUGGCGUAACCAUACUGCAGUUUCCAUACCAGAUCUCAGAAAAGAUGUUCCCCAAGAGAGUUAUUUAUACAACUGUUUUCAGUUGUCCCAGAGAAGCCUCGGGGGAGAGAAGAGACUUGUGCACGUUUGGACAGAACUUUCUGCAAGGAAGGGAACAAGGCUGAUGGGAUCUGACAAUGCCCAGUGGGGACACGGUCCCCAGAGAUGCUGCCCGUCACCUUUGUUAAUCCCAUGCAAAAGAUCAGAGUUAGACAAGCAGAUAGCUGAUCAUUCUGGCCACAAAC